GCCCCCGUAGCUCAAUCGGCAGCAGCAGAUCCCUCUUAAGGAUAAGGUUCUCGGUUCGACUCCGAGCGGGGGCA
rnacentral:tRNA from 1 species